GCACGGAGAUGAUCGAUGAACACACGGUGACAACGAGACCACCUGGAGCACUUACUAGAGCAAGAUUAAAUUCAUGGGUGGGGAAUGAGGCAAGAAACAGAAACAGAUGAAGAGACAAUAAAACAGCUGGCCAAGAACAUCAGUGGGUGAAGGAAAGAAACAGAAGUUGUUAAAUGACAGAGAGUGAGGACGAAGCUGAGGACAAGCAGAGCUGGCACAGAACAGCGCCUAGGCACUUGGAAGGUCUCUCCAUCAGGAAAGCUCCUGAGCCACUUGGAUUCUAUACGAACAAUCCAUCCCCAACACAUCUGGGAAGAGCGACAGCCAGCAUUUGCAGUGAGUGAAUCUGAUGGGAAAAGUCAGGAGGCAAUCUCCACGGAGAGCUGAUGGUUCCGAGUUCCAGUCUCCCCACCAGCCUCAGGGUUUCAUGGCUCUCAGCCUGGAUUCAAACUCAUUAUACAUGCUACACCUUCUAAGUGCUGGGAAUACAGGACUCUGUCACCAUGCUCAGCCUCCAAG